rnacentral:rRNA from 1 species
CAGCCGCCGCGGGAAUACGUAGGUGGCAAGCGUUGUCCGGAAUUAUUGGGCGUAAAGGACUCACAGGCGGUUUCUUAAGUCUGAUGUGAAAGCCCCCGGCUCAACCGGGGAGGGUCGUUGGAAACUGGGAAACUUGAGUGCAGAAGAGGAGAGUGGAAUUCCACGUGUAGCGGUGAAAUGCGUAGAGAUGUGAUGCACACCAGUGGCGAAGGCGACUCUCUGGUCUGUAACUGACGCUGAGGAGCGAAAGCGUGGGGAGCAAACAGGAUUAGAUACCCCAGUAGUCCCUGUCUCUUAUACA